ensembl:processed_transcript
UCUUGUCGCUUGACUUUGUUAUGAUGCUACACAGUGUAAAUAAAAUAGAAAGAUGGCGCUUCAGAUAAAAUAUAUUUUGCUGCAUUUUUCGGGUUAUUGCUUUGUUUUAAUGAGUAUUAGUUUUAUUUAUAACUUAGUAUGUAGUAAAAGCGCAUAUGCGCCCAUAUGGCCUACACUUAACGUGUAACUUACUGACAACCAGCAGUCGGGACUACAUUUGUUAGAAACGGCGGAUGGCCACGAGCGUGAGGUCCAGCUGUGACGGCCGCAUGCUGGAGGUCAUCCACCGCGCUGUUGGCACACAGAGCAUCCCAUGCUGCGCUCCCAAGAUCCUGAAACACACAAACAGGCAUCUUUGUCUGCUGAUUCUGUCUGUCACUUUUUGAGAAGACGACUACAAGAAG